UACGUAGGGCGCAAGCGUUGUCCGGAAUUAUUGGGCGUAAAGAGCUCGUAGGCGGUUUGUCGCGUCUGCUGUGAAAUCCCGAGGCUCAACCUCGGGCUUGCAGUGGGUACGGGCAGACUAGAGUGCGGUAGGGGAGACUGGAAUUCCUGGUGUAGCGGUGAAAUGCGCAGAUAUCAGGAGGAACACCGGUGGCGAAGGCGGGUCUCUGGGCCGUAACUGACGCUGGAGGAAGCGAAAGCAUGGGGAGC
rnacentral:rRNA from 1 species